UACGGACAUAUCUCGUUGAAACACCGUUUUUCAUAAGAUCAUCGAAGUUAAGCAACGUUGAACUUGGUCAGUACCUAGAUGGGCGACUUUUUGGGAAUACCAGGUGCUGUAAG